AUUGAACGCUGGCGGAAUGCUUUACACAUGCAAGUCGAACGGUAGAGGGGGCAACCCCUCGAGAGUGGCGAACGGGUGAGUAAUACAGCGGAACGUGCCCAGUCGUGGGGGAUAACGUAGCGAAAGUUACGCUAAUACCGCAUACGCUCGAAGGAUGAAAGCGGGGGAUCGCAAGACCUCGCGCGAUUGGAGCGGCCGAUAUCAGAUUAGGUAGUUGGUGGGGUAAAGGCUCGCCAAGCCAACGAUCGGUAGCUGGUCUGAGGGGACGACCAGCCACACUGGAACUGAGACACGGUCCAGACUCCUACGGGAGGCAGCAGUGGGGAAUUUUGGACAAUGGGCGCAAGCCUGAUCCAGCCAUUCCGCGUGAGUGAAGAAGGCCUUCGGGUUGUAAAGCUCUUUCGCAAGGGAAGAAAACUUAGCCACUAACAUUGGUUGAGGUUGACGGUACCUUGAUAAGAAGCACCGGCUAACUACGUGCCAGCCGCCGCCGUAA
rnacentral:rRNA from 1 species